rnacentral:lncRNA from 1 species
AUGAGUGACUCAAAGUGUGCAACCACUGCAAACAAUGAUAAAAUGAAACGCGAGACUAAGCUGGAAUUCUCCCCGGAAGAAGAAGAUAUAGUUGCAAAAAUGUUUAGAUUGGUUGGAAAAAGAUGGCAUCUCAUUGCUGGAAGGAUUCCAGGAAGAAGCGCAGAAGAUAUUGAAAAAUAUUGGAAUUCAAAGUUUUCUUCUUCAACUGCAUAA